GACGAACGCUGGCGGCGUGCUUAACACAUGCAAGUCGUACGGUAAGGCCCUUUCGGGGGUACACGAGUGGCGAACGGGUGAGUAACACGUGAGUAACCUGCCCACAACUUGGGAUAACGCCAGGAAAAUGGUGCUAAUAAUGGGUAUUUGCCCCUGCCGCCUGGGGGGGGUUGGGAAGGUCCGGCGGUUGUGGAUGGACUCGCGGCCUAUCAGCUUGUUGGUGGGGUAGUGGCCUACCAAGGCGGCGACGGGUAGCCGGCCUGAGAGGGUGACCGGCCACAUUGGGACUGAGAUACGGCCCAGACUCCUACGGGAGGCAGCAGUGGGGAAUAUUGCACAAUGGGCGCAAGCCUGAUGCAGCAACGCCGCGUGCGGGAUGACGGCCUUCGGGUUGUAAACCGCUUUCAGCAGGGACGAAGCUUUUUGUGACGGUACCUGCAGAAGAAGCACCGGCUAACUACGUG
rnacentral:rRNA from 1 species